rnacentral:rRNA from 1 species
UACAGAGGUGGCAAGCGUUGUUCGGAAUUACUGGGCGUAAAGGGCGCGUAGGCGGCCUUCUAAGUCAGACGUGAAAUCCCCCGGCUUAACCUGGGAACUGCGUCUGAUACUGGGAGGCUAGAGUGCGGGAGAGGGAUGCGGAAUUCCAGGUGUAGCGGUGAAAUGCGUAGAUAUCUGGAGGAACACCGGUGGCGAAGGCGGGUCUCUGGGCAACAACUGACGCUGAGGAGCGAAAGCGUGGGGAGCGAACAGG